CGUGUGGCUCUAAUCAAACAUGUUUCUCUGGGAAGAAUGAGUGCUGUCUGGACGCAGUGGACUCUGCAGCACACAUGCUCAGAAGUUUCCGUCAGCAGUGUAAAGAAAUGAAAAGUGUGCUGGUUGCUGUGGCAGCUAAUCUCUCUCCAUCAUCGUGGAAACACACAACGGGAUACAGGACAGCUGGAGGUGUGUGUGUGUGUGUGUGUGUGUGUGUGUGUGUGUGAGAGAGAGAGAGAGAGAGAGAGAGAGAGAGAGAGAGAGAGCUUGUCUCUAUUUGUAAAGCAUAAUAUCUGAGGGUUUCCUGGUGUGUUUUGGAAAAGAGUCGUGCAGAGUGCAAUCUGUGUUUCGGAGAUGUUGAGGUGUGUGUGUGUGUGUGUGUGUGUAAAACACAUUUAAUCUCCUGAA
rnacentral:lncRNA from 1 species